UAGAAAAAAUGAAUUACGCAGCGCACUUUUCGCACCGAUUCUUGAAAACCGGUGGGAAAAGAAAUGGGCGGGAUUGGGGAAAAUAUUUUUCCCAUUGGUUCCUAAUAAACCAGUGUGAAAUCAUAUUUUUCGCACCGGUUCAAACCGGUGCGAAUUACGAAAUAUAAAAAAAAAAACCCGGGCUGCUUUUCUUCUUAUUUCUUUCUUUCUUUCCAUGUUCUAUACUUUUAAUUUCCCUCUCGUUUUCGCCUUCGUUCUCUAUCCAGAAUCCCGAAUUGCCCUAGCUUUCUCACUCCAUUGAAGCAGCACCUCCGCCUUCUCACUCCAUUGAAGCAGCACCUCCGCCUCCAUUGAAUUGUGCUCUAUAUUCUCCAUUGAAGCCGAAUCUGAGCUUUCUCACCUCCAUUGAAGCUGCUCCUGCAGGAACUCUAAGGGUCUUAUUGUUCUAAUGAAGACUACUGAUAAGGGUAAAACAACAUCAACAGCCAGCACCAGGCAGGCACAGCACCACCAAACAACAGCUAACAGCCAGCAGAUAGCCAACAGGAGUGGCAGAUGCAGAUGGUACUCCUGCCACAACUUCAGACCUGGGACUCGAUAAUACAGCAGCAGAGGCUGUUAGAGAAAUGGCACAUGAUGAAUAUCCUGAGUGGUUCCUCAUUGAGAUGGGAAUUGUUGCAAUCGAUGCUGCUCAAUUGGCAAGCGAGCAUCAAUCAGCAAAUAGGAGAGGUCAGAGGAUGAAAACUACGGAAUUAUGUUGAGUACAUUUGAUAAUUCGAUUCCAUGGAAAGUCGAAAAACCUUUAAACUAUUGCCAUGCUUCGGUGAUUCUCUAUUCAAACACCCUUUCGGAUUUUGAUUUUAAGCUUGAAAGCCUUGCUCAAGGUUUUCGCUGCUUGUCAGAUUUUGUGGAACACCUUGCUGCUUCAGUUGAUAUUGUGUUUCCUGUCAUCCAUGGUCCUUUUGGUGAAGAUGGUACUCUUCAGGUAUAUAAAAAGGAUGCUUUUGUCUAGGAGGAGUUUUUCGCAGAAAUCUCUCAUGCAAUUAGGCAUCCAGGAGUUGUUAGAGCAACCAAAGGUUCCUUUUGUUGGUACAAAAUCAAAUGAAUCUUGCAAGGCAUUUGACAAUGUGAGUUUAUUGCUCUAGCUGACCCUCUAAUACUUUGAGGACCAGUUCAUUGUAAGCAUUUAAUAUUACCGAUGAUGUGCUAUGAAUCCAUGACUAACUCAUAUAAUAGUGCGCAUUAUGUCAUAUCAUUCUAUCAUAGCACUGUUUGGUUUAGCUGGUUCAUAGGGAGGCUUCUGUCAGGAGUUUCUUGCUUCUGUCAUAAGUUGUCUAUGCAUGUCACAUGCGCAUUAUGCCCUAUAAAGAUGGAACAAAUUAAUAUUAAACUGGGAAAACAGCAUCUCAGAUUAGUUAUUUCGGAUCUUCCCACUAGAGGGACGGGAAUUGAGUCUACUAAGCCAGGUGAACUUCUAAGAUUUAAUCUGUCGUACAUCUCAAUUAUUUUCCAAAAAAAAAAAAAAAAAAAAGGCUUGACCAGCAAUUAUACAAUUAAACCAGAUUAAAGCAUAUCAAUUUUUUUUAUAAGAUGUCAAAAUGCCAAGAAGCUAGUUUCAAUUGGAAAGACUCAUGCUACUUAUGAAGUAUGCUUUAGAAAAGAGUAAUUUGCUGAUAGUUUGUAUGCUUUACUUUCCUUGGUCUGAUGUAGAAAAAGCGAAAAGCUUUAAAGAAUUACUAAAUAUUUAUGCUUACCCACACUCACUUUUUACUCGCUCUUUCUUACUUGAUCCUUGUUUCUCUAACAAAUUCACCUUUUUCUAACACACCCCCACGUUUUUCUAACUUGCCUUAAUUAUGAACCUACAGAAAGUGGGUAGAACAAAAGAAUAAUAGCUGAGGGAGUAUAUAAAUAUAUAAGCUUAUCUACGAAAGGAGAUUAUAUGCAGUUCUUCCUAACAUAAACUCUAUUAUAUUUUAACUAAUAAGGAAUGGGAUCUAUUAUGUGCCUAGAAAGUGGGAUUGGUUCUAAUUUUCCCUGCUUAUCACCAAUCUGUUUCUAUUCUUUCCUUUGUAUUUAAUGAACAACUAGCCUUUGUAGGACUUAUCUCAUCAUAUCACAAAUUUACCUCUGUUGUUGGUUUAAUGACUUGAGUAAGAAAAAAAGGUUAGCUAUCUCUGGUGCUAAUUAUUGGGGCGCCUCUUAGUGCAUUUAUGAUUACGAACUCUGUGAGAGAAAUUGAGAAACAAUGUUGUCAGAUAUAGCUCUUCCAUAUGAUUUUCAAGACUAUUUUAAACUCAUAAAUUCUGGGGGAUCUUUUUUUAUGCUUAUGAAAGGUUAUAUGUUUUGACUAAGGGAAUAUUGAAGAGAUUCUGAAGCUGAAGUAAAUGCUUUUAAAGUUAUAGAAAAUCUAGAAAAUCGUCAGCAGCUGUGUACAAGGUCAUUAAAAGAAAAUCUUCAAUUCAAGGAGAAAACUCUAAGUAUUCACCAAUAAGGAAAACGAGUCAAAUGAAACCGAUCUACAAAAGUGGUUUGAAACAAAUCAAUUGGAUCUCGGAACAGGAAAAGUUGUGGUAAAACCAGCAAGAGGAGGAUCAAGCAUUGGUGUUACUGUUGCAUAUGGAGUUGCUAAUUCCUUUACAAAGGCUUGCCGAAUAAUAACAGAUGUAUGUAUUGUACAAUUGGUGACAUGUCACUAGACAAUAGACAUUAAACUGUGAAGGUAAUCCCCCCUGAAUAACGGGUAAAAGAAAGAUAAAGGAGAGGAGGGAGAAAGAGGGGGUGGGGUGGUGUUAAAUUCUUAGUGAUAUGUGUCAUUAUUGAAUGACUUACUAUACUUGUACUUCAUUUAUGCCCUAGCUGCCUUGCAUGAAGCUCAGUAAUUCAGUAUGGCCUGGAAUGAUGAGCGAAUUAAGCAACUCUGUUGUGCUGUUGGUAUGCUGGUUUUGUCUUAGUUUUUAUUCUAUUUAUCAAAGAUGUAGUGCUCUUUAAUGGAUGUAUGACACAAAUAUGAAGAUAUAUGUGUUUUAUGUAUAAUAUGAUUAUAUAAAAGUAUUUGUACAAUUUAAGUGAAAA